UACGUAGGUGGCGAGCGUUGUCCGGAAUUAUUGGGCGUAAAGCGCGCGCAGGCGGUCCUUUAAGUCUGAUGUGAAAGCCCACGGCUCAACCGUGGAGGGUCAUUGGAAACUGGGGGACUUGAGUGCAGAAGAGGAAAGCGGAAUUCCACGUGUAGCGGUGAAAUGCGUAGAGAUGUGGAGGAACACCAGUGGCGAAGGCGGCUUUCUGGUCUGUAACUGACGCUGAGGCGCGAAAGCGUGGGGAGCAAACAGG
rnacentral:rRNA from 1 species